rnacentral:lncRNA from 1 species
AGCAGACAUCACUGACAUGAUAUAUAUAUCACAGACAUCACAUACAUAUCACAAACAUCACAUAAGUCAUAGUAUAUCAUAAUAAGUUCACAAAUAAUCUCAGUGCUCCAUCAUUCACCAUAAGAAGUGCAAAUAAAAGUACCAUUAACAACUACAAGUAUCAUCACGAACAACGAGGCUGAUUUGGUGAAGGAUUUGUAGCAUGAGGCACUUCAUUCGAUGCCGCCGAUUGAUUCUGCAGAAAGGAGAAGGGAUUACAUAUGUGAGACAAGAUAAGGCCCAGUUUGGAAAAAAAGAAUGCAAAACAAAGGAAUGAAAGAAAAUACAUGAAUAUAAAAGGAAUAGAGGUGUAAAACAAAGGAUUAGAAACACACAGGAAUUUUGUAGAAACGAGUGUUUGGAACACAGGAAUACUAAUAGCAUCAAAGACUAUUCGUUUGUGCUAAACACAAUUGUUUAGAUUAAGUAUGAGCUAAUUACUUCUUUACAAAGCAACAUAUAGAAGUUAAAAAAAAUGAUAUGUCUUGGACGAGCCCAUAUGGUUGUGCAUGCAGGUAGGGAUCAGGAAGUAGCACAUGCUGUGCAUGCAGGUAAGAAGGGAGUAUGCAGAUUAGUACGUAGCUUAUGCAGUUGUGCUAGUUUGGAAACUUAAAACUUUUUUUCUAGUUUAUGUCUGUUAUUUAUACUUUGUGGCUUUAUAAAAACAAGGUUUUUCUUUGUAAAAAAAGAUAACCUGAAAAACUAGGUUCGAAGUAUUGUUGUGGUUUGACUGUAAACAUGAACAUAUAACCCACCAGGAGGUGGAGGUAGAGCGAAUCGCCCAGGUGGUGGCGGCGUGCGUCCCAUCGGGCAUGCCACGAGCGCCGAGCAGGGACGCGCCGAAGGGGAGGGUCGCGAGCGCCGAGCAGAGAUACCGUCCCGCUAGGGAUGCGCCGCCGCUUCAGUGGUGUCUGAGGGCGUGCGGCUGCGGCGGCAGAGGCGGUGGUGGGGCUGGAGUGGGUGUCGAGGGCGGGCGCGGCUCCGGCGGUCGGGGGCGGGCGCAGAUCUGACGAGCCGCCGGCAAGGGGCGGGCCAGGCGGCCUUACGAGCGGCGGCGGCCGAGAGCAGGCGACGGUGCGUGCUGAGGUCUAGCGUGCGGCAAGGCAAAAGUGUGUGGACC